GACGACUGGCAGAGAUGCCUUUCUUCCCUUCGGGGACCUACACACAGGUGCUGCAUGGCUGUCGUCAGCUCGUGUCGUGAGAUGUUGGGUUAAGUCCCGCAACGAGCGCAACCCUCGACUUUAGUUACCAUCAUUAAGUUGGGUACUUUAAAGUAACCGCCGGUGAUAAGCCGGAGGAAGGUGGGGAUGACGUCAAGUCCUCAUGGCCCUUACGCGCUGGGCUACACACGUGCUACAAUGGCAAGUACAGUGGGCAGCAAUCCCGCGAGGGUGAGCUAAUCUCCAAAACUUGUCUCAGUUCGGAUUGUUCUCUGCAACUCGAGAGCAUGAAGGCGGAAUCGCUAGUAAUCGCGGAUCAGCAUGCCGCGGUGAAUACGUUCCC
rnacentral:rRNA from 1 species